GACGAACGCUGGCGGCGUGCUUAACACAUGCAAGUCGAACGGAAAGGCCCUGCUUUUGUGGGGUGCUCGAGUGGCGAACGGGUGAGUAACACGUUAGUAACCUGCCCUUGACUUUGGGAUAACUUCAGUAAACUGGGGCUAAUACCGGAUAGGAGCUCCUGCUGCAUGGUGGGGGUUGGAAAGUUUCGGCGGUUGGGGAUGGACUCGCGGCUUAUCAGCUUGUUGGUGGGGUAGUGGCUUACCAAGGCUUUGACGGGUAGCCGGCCGGAGAGGGUGACCGGCCACAUUGGGACUGAGAUACGGCCCAGACUCCUACGGGAGGCAGCAGUGGGGAAUAUUGCACAAUGGGCGGAAGCCUGAUGCAGCAACGCCGCGUGCGGGAUGACGGCCUUCGGGUUGUAAACCGCUUUCGCCUGUGACGAAGCGUGAGUGACGGUAAUGGGUAAAGAAGCACCGGCUAACUACGUG
rnacentral:rRNA from 1 species